UCUCAUCAGGCCCGGGACAGCCCUGCCCCGCUUCUUCAGCUCCCCGAAGCAGCCAUCGCAGACCUUGGCCAUCCUGUCCUUCAGCAACAGAAUUGGCUGAGUAAUGUGGAAUGUGGCCAGGAGACCAGCCAGAUGCACAGCCCAGUGAGCCCUGCCCUGCUUCUCUGUGCAGGGUGUGUGCGUGUGUGGAUAGCUUCCCAGACAGUCAUCCGACAGGCACUUUCCAAGUCCCUGCUCUGCACCAGGGAGGGCUUCUUGAGUGGCAAGAGCUACGCCUGGGCUGUGUGCCAGGUAGCUGGGUGGAGUUCUCACAGUCUCCACUAGAUGCCGCGCCUACACCACAGGUAAGUGUGCAGCCUGCCCCGGAAAGCAAGCAUAAGGGCCUGCUGGCCUGGGCGGGAGCAGUGCUGCAGGGCAGAGGCUGAAUCAGCAUUGUGGGCUGCAAGACACCAUGUCCCUAAAAGCUGAUGAAUGGGUCCUGCUGUCCCCUGGGAGCUUCAAGUGUGAAGGGUCUGGACUAGCAGGAAGGUGACUGGCAUGCUAAAGGCCACUGUCCUUGCCCUGGGAGAUGGGCAGCCCCACCUGAAGGCCCAUGUGUGGAUCAUCACCACCUUCAUGUCAUGGCUGGACUAACAAACUAUAUGCUGGCAGCCUCCUGCCCUUGAUUUUAUCACAAGGAGAGGUGAUGGCCACGAUCCCCACCCAGGCAUCACCUCCUCCAGGAAGCAUUCCCUCACUCCUCCAGAUGGGGCAGUCCCUCCUUUGGGUUUCCAAGCCCUCUUCUACUCCCUCAUGCCGUAGACUGUAACAGAUAAAAGCUCUGGUCCACACAGUCCUGGGUUCAAACUCCAGUUCCACCUCACCUGGCUGUGUGACCCUUUUGCAAGCCUCAACUCCCUAUGCAUGGAAGGAGCCGCAAACCCCAGCUCUAAGGGUAGUGAUGAGGAUCCCGGCGGUGUCUGGGGCCUGACAGGUGUCUAAUGCCUGUUACUGUUGUCAUUACCACUGUUAAUUGUUACAGCAGUUACUUCCCUGCAUCUGAAGCAGUUUACAACUCUCCUACCUGUAAUGUGGGCUCCUGGAGAGCACAACAAUGGCUAAAUUGUUGCCAGACCUGUCACUGAGGUGUGGCUAAUAAAUGCUUAAAUUUUUUUUUUUUUGGAGACAGGGUCUCACUAUGUUGCCCAGGCUGGUCCCA